rnacentral:rRNA from 1 species
GCCUAACACAUGCAAGUCGAACGAGAUCUUCGGAUCUAGUGGCGCACGGGUGCGUAACGCGUGGGAAUCUGCCCUUGGGUUCGGAAUAACUUCUGGAAACGGAAGCUAAUACCGGAUGAUGACGUAAGUCCAAAGAUUUAUCGCCCAAGGAUGAGCCCGCGUAGGAUUAGCUAGUUGGUGGGGUAAAGGCUCACCAAGGCGACGAUCCUUAGCUGGUCUGAGAGGAUGAUCAGCCACACUGGGACUGAGACACGGCCCAGACUCCUACGGGAGGCAGCAGUAGGGAAUAUUGGGCAAUGCCCGCAAGCCUGAUCCAGCAAUGCCGCGUGAGUGAUGAAGGCCUUAGGGUUGUAAAGCUCUUUUACCCGGGAUGAUAAUGACAGUACCGGGAGAAUAAGCUCCGGCUAACUCCGUGCCAGCAGCCGCGGUAAU